rnacentral:rRNA from 1 species
GACGGAGGGUGCAAGCGUUGCUCGGAAUCACUGGGCGUAAAGGGUGCGUAGGCGGCCUCUCAAGUCGGGCGUGAAAGCCCUCGGCUCAGCCGGGGAAGGGCGCACGAAACGGAGGGGCUGGAGGGCCGGAGGGGAGAGUGGAAUUCCCGGUGUAGCGGUGAAAUGCGUAGAGAUCGGGAGGAAUACCGGUGGCGAAAGCGACUCUCUGGACGGCCCCUGACGCUGAGGCACGAAAGCGUGGGGAGCAAACAGG